rnacentral:rRNA from 1 species
CGUACACUCCUACGGGAGGCAGCAGUGGGGAAUAUUAGACAAUGGGCGCAAGCCUGAUCCAGCCAUGCCGCGUGAGUGAUGAAGGCCCUAGGGUUGUAAAGCUCUUUCACCGGUGAAGAUAAUGACGGUAACCGGAGAAGAAGCCCCGGCUAACUUCGUGCCAGCAGCCGCGGUAAUACGAAGGGGGCUAGCGUUGUUCGGAUUUACUGGGCGUAAAGCGCACGUAGGCGGACUAUUAAGUCAGGGGUGAAAUCCCGGGGCUCAACCCCGGAACUGCCUUUGAUACUGGUAGUCUUGAGUUCGAGAGAGGUGAGUGGAAUUCCGAGUGUAGAGGUGAAAUUCGUAGAUAUUCGGAGGAACACCAGUGGCGAAGGCGGCUCACUGGCUCGAUACUGACGCUGAGGUGCGAAAGCGUGGGGAGCAAACAGGAUUAGAAACCCUGGUAGUCCCAUGA